rnacentral:lncRNA from 1 species
UAGUGUCAUAAUACACCAUGAGGUGGUUGGGUCCCAUUUCCAGAACAACCAGAGUGACGUCUGAGCAAUGCUCUCUGAACAAGAUCUUCAUGUCUGCUCCCAAAGAGGGUUGCUACAUUCUUAGCUUCCCUCAAUUUAAUUCUUUUAUGAUAAAAAGAAGGGUGAACAGAAAAUGUUCAGAGCAAUCAUCCUCUGAAAAUUCAUAUAAUUGACAGCAGAAAUACAAGAAGGAGAUUGGAUUUCAAUCCUCUUGGAAACAAUUGAUUUGGAAGUGGUCUGUGGUCUAAAGAUUUUGACAAAAUUUUAGGAGCAAGUAAAGAUGAUAUAAAUAUAUAAAGAGACAGAACAGAAGGGAGAUAGCCACAUUUCAGAAAACAUGGAGAAAUUAUACAAGUGAUUCUUCCAGGAAAUUCUUCAGAAAUGUCCAAAGAAAAAAUUAUGGACUUACAAAUCUGACUGUGCGAUGACUGCAAAAUCCUCCUUCAUCUUCCUCUCCCUGACAUGCAUGCAAACACACACACACACAUACACACACACACACACACACACACACACACCCUGAGAUUUGCAUCAUUUGUCUUUAGGCUAAAAUAAGGGAAAACAUUUCAAAAUGAUUUACCGAUUUUUUUAAAUGAUGGGCACAGUAACCAUAAUUAAGUCUUCCGUAUUUGGCAUUGGAAUGAAGGUAACGGGAUCAAACCCUUCUAUUUACUUCUCCUUACUCAUCCAAAGAUGCAGUCAACCA